rnacentral:lncRNA from 1 species
GGAUAGACGAACCAUGUUUGUCCACCUGCCCAUUUCAUGAAACGGAAAAGAGAUCUGUCACACAAAACUAAAAAACUAAAAAAGUGUGAUGUCAUUCAGUGAUUGUCAUUCGUAACCAUUCGGCUUGUAGCCUGAAUUGAUGCGUCCACUGCUGUAAACGCGCGUCGCGGUCCGUCUCCGUCCGUCUCCGUAGAAACGCAGUCUGGAGGGAAUUUACUGGCCGUUUUAAAUGUUUCAUUCGCUAAUUUUCGUGCAGAUGAGCCGCGGUAAUGUUAAUCCAGAGGUUCCUACCAGCUGUUAUCUCUCUCUCUCUCUGAAUGUCUGGCUGCUGUCACAUCACCUCGGUCAAAUAAAGCUGGACAUUUUGGAUGACUGGUCUCUGUGGUGUUACAUCUAUAAAGGUUCCCCUUCUGUUGUGUUACGUCUAUAAAUGUCCCCCUUCUGUUGUGUUACGUCUAUAAAGGUUCCCCUUCUGUUGUGUUACGUCUAUAAAGGUUCCCCUUCUGUUGUGUUACGUCUAUAAAGGUCCCCCUUCUGUUGUGUCACGUCUAUAAAGGUCCAUCUUCUGUUGUGUUACGUCUAUAAAUGUCCCCCUUCUGUUGUGUUAUAUAAAGGUUCCCCUUCUGUUGUGUUAUAUAAAGGUUCCCCUUCUGUUGUGUUAUAUAAAGGUUCCCCUUCUGUUGUGUUAUAUAAAGGUUCCCCUUCUGUUGUGUUACGUCUAUAAAUGUCCCCCUUCUGUUGUGUUACGUCCAUAAAGGUUCCCCUUCUGUUGUUACAUUUACAUUUACGUCAUUUAGCAGACACUCUUAUCCAGAGCGACUUACAAAUUGGUGC